UACGUAGGGUGCGAGCGUUAAUCGGAAUUACUGGGCGUAAAGCGUGCGCAGGCGGCUUUGCAAGACAGAUGUGAAAUCCCCGGGCUCAACCUGAGAACUGCAUUUGUGACUGCAAGGCUAGAGUACGGCAGAGGGGGAUGGAAUUCCGCGUGUAGCAGUGAAAUGCGUAGAUAUGCGGAGGAACACCAAUGGCGAAGGCAAUCCCCUGGGCCUGUACUGACGCUCAUGCACGACAGCGUGGGGAGCAAACAGG
rnacentral:rRNA from 1 species